GAUGAACGCUGGCGGCGUGCCUAAUACAUGCAGGUCGAGCGAACGGACGAGAAGCUUGCUUCUCUGAUGUUAGCGGCGGACGGGUGAGUAACACGUGGAUAACCUACCUAUAAGACUGGGAUAACUUCGGGAAACCGGAGCUAAUACCGGAUAAUAUUUUGAACCGCAUGGUUCAAAAGUGAAAGACGGUCUUGCUGUCACUUAUAGAUGGAUCCGCGCUGCAUUAGCUAGUUGGUAAGGUAACGGCUUACCAAGGCAACGAUGCAUAGCCGACCUGAGAGGGUGAUCGGCCAAACUGGAACUGAGACACGGUCCAGACUCCUACGGGAGGCAGCAGUAGGGAAUCUUCCGCAAUGGGCGAAAGCCUGACGGAGCAACGCCGCGUGAGUGAUGAAGGUCUUCGGAUCGUAAAACUCUGUUAUUAGGGAAGAACAUAUGUGUAAGUAACUGUGCACAUCUUGACGGUACCUAAUCAGAAAGCCACGGCUAACUACGUG
rnacentral:rRNA from 1 species